UACGUAGGGUGCAAGCGUUAAUCGGAAUUACUGGGCGUAAAGCGCGUGUAGGCGGGUCUUUAAGUCAGGGGUGAAAUGCCAAGGCUCAACCUUGGAACUGCCUUUGAUACUGGAGAUCUUGAGUCCGGGAGAGGUGAGUGGAAUUGCGAGUGUAGAGGUGAAAUUCGUAGAUAUUCGCAAGAACACCAGUGGCGAAGGCGGCUCACUGGCCCGGAACUGACGCUGAGACGCGAAAGCGUGGGGAGCAAACAGG
rnacentral:rRNA from 1 species